rnacentral:rRNA from 1 species
AUUGAACGCUGGCGGCAGGCCUAACACAUGCAAGUCGAACGAGUGGCGGACGGGUGAGUAAUGUCUGGGAAACUGCCUUAUGGAGGGGGAUAACUACUGGAAACUGUAGCUAAUACCGCAUACCAUCAGAUGUGCCCAGUUGGGAUUAGUUAGUUGGUGGGGUAACGGCUCACCAAGGCGACGAUCCCUAGCUGGUCUGAGAGGAUGACCAGCCAAACUGGAAAGGAGACACGGACCAGACUCCUACGGGAGGCAGCAGUGGGGAAUAUUGCACAAUGGGCGCAAGCCUGACGCAGCCAUGCCGCGUGAAUGAAGAAGGCCUUCGGGUUGUAAAGUACUUUCAGCAGGGAGGCGUUACCCGCAGAAGAAGCACCGGCUAACUCCGUGCCAGCAGCCGCGGUAAUAC